rnacentral:rRNA from 1 species
AUGCAAGUCGAGGGGCAGCAUAAUGGAUAGCAAUAUCUAUGGUGGCGACCGGCGCACGGGUGCGUAACGCGUAUGCAACCUACCUUUAACAGGGGGAUAACACUGAGAAAUUGGUACUAAUGCCCCAUAAUAUCAUAGAAGGCAUCUUUUAUGGUUGAAAAUUCCGAUGGUUAGAGAUGGGCAUGCGUUGUAUUAGCUAGUUGGUGGGGUAACGGCUCACCAAGGCGACGAUACAUAGGGGGACUGAGAGGUUAACCCCCCACACUGGUACUGAGACACGGACCAGACUCCUACGGGAGGCAGCAGUGAGGAAUAUUGGUCAAUGGACGCAAGUCUGAACCAGCCAUGCCGCGUGCAGGAUGACGGCUCUAUGAGUUGUAAACUGCUUUUGUACGAGGGUAAACGCAGAUACGUGUAUCUGUCUGAAAGUAUCGUACGAAUAAGGAUCGGCUAACUCCGUGCCAGCAGCCGCGGUAAUACGGAGGAUUCAAGCGUUAUCCGGAUUUAUUGGGUUUAAAGGGUGCGUAGGCGGUUUGAUAAGUUAGAGGUGAAAUUUCGGGGCUCAACCCUGAACGUGCCUCUAAUACUGUUGAGCUAGAGAGUAGUUGCGGUAGGCGGAAUGUAUGGUGUAGCGGUGAAAUGCUUAGAGAUCAUACAGAACACCGAUUGCGAAGGCAGCUUACCAAACUAUAUCUGACGUUGAGGCACGAAAGCGUGGGGAGCAAACAGGAUUAGAUACCCUGGUAGUCCACGCAGUAAACGAUGAUAACUCGUUGUCGGCGAUACACAGUCGGUGACUAAGCGAAAGCGAUAAGUUAUCCACCUGGGGAGUACGUUCGCAAGAAUGAAACUCAAAGGAAUUGACGGGGGCCCGCACAAGCGGAGGAACAUGUGGUUUAAUUCGAUGAUACGCGAGGAACCUUACCCGGGCUUGAAAGUUAGCGACGAUUCUUGAA